rnacentral:rRNA from 1 species
AUGAUACGCGAGGGAACCUUACCUGGGCUCGAACGUAAGAUGACUGUAGGUGAAAGCUUACAUCUCUUCGGAGCAUUUUACGAGGUGCUGCAUGGUUGUCGUCAGCUCGUGCCGUGAGGUGUCGGGUUAAGUCCCAUAACGAGCGCAACCCUACCUUUAGUUGCCAUCAGGUAAUGCUGGGGACUCUAAAGGAACUGCCUACGCAAGUAGUGAGGAAGGCGGGGAUGACGUCAAAUCAGCACGGCCCUUACGUCCAGGGCUACACACGUGCUACAAUGGCCGAUACAGAGGGCAGCUACCUGGUGACAGGAUGCAAAUCUCCAAAGUCGGUCUCAGUUCGGAUCGGAGUCUGCAACCCGACUCCGUGAAGUUGGAUUCGCUAGUAAUCGCGCAUCAGCCAUGGCGCGGUGAAUACGCUCCCGGGCCUU